rnacentral:lncRNA from 1 species
GUUCACUCAGCAGCCCUGAGGGUGCCACCUCUCUUGCUUCUCUCCCACCUUCCUCCCCUAUGCCCAGAGCAGUGCUUCCUCUAGUUUCCUCAGACACUCCCCCACUCAGAUGCUAAGAGUCCUCCUCCUCUGGGGCUCAGCCCACCCAGCUUUGCCUCCUUCCACCCAUCUGGUCUGCCUCCAGGUUUCUUCCCUGUUUUUAGUCUCUUGUCUUCAUCUUGGAUGACUUCAGGGUCCCCCUGGGUCACUCACCUGACUUCCCAAUCUUAUAGAUCCCCAAGGACCUCUGCCAUCCCUUCAUUUCAGCCACACUCUGGACUUUGUCCUCAUCCACAAAUAUGCCGCCUUCGAAACCUGGAUUUCAGCUCCUGGCCCUGCGAGCCAGCUUCUGGUCCCUCCAGCUCUCUCUCCGUCCCUCUGCUCUCAAGUGCCCUUCAGUGCCCGGGCCCACCCCUCCAAUCCCUCUGGUCAUCAGGCCCUCCCUGGCUGCACUUCGCACCCCACUGAGCCUGGACUCCAGGUUACCAUCUAUUUUGGAACUUCAAACUACACAUCCCCUCCUUGAACUCGGCAGCUCCCUCUGCCUCUGGGAAUGCACAUUCACACAGGCCAGCCCCUGGGACUCAUUCGGUCUCAUGCCAAGGUCAAGACAAGCAAGGAAACCUUUGGAACAGGAUGCAAAUGCAGCUCUUUCCAUCCAGCCCGGCAUCCUGCUUCCAGAUGCAAGAGGCUGAGCAGGCCACUGGGAUAGUAUUUAAGCGGCUGUGACCACCAUGUCCCCAUUUGGAAACUGGAGCCCAGGGACCGCCCUCCCCCUCCCCUGUCCGGGCCUUUAAAGUGGUCUGAAUAAUACAUUACACUUUUAUUCGUCUUCCUCGCUAGAUGCAAGCACUUUACCGGAACCCUGUCAUAUUCAUCUUUAUGGCCUGAGGUUCUGCUCCUGGUAGGAGCUCAGCAAAUGUUCGGUAAAAUGAAUUUUUAAAGUAAUUAUUGAAUCAUCAAGUCAAUGUUUGGAUAAACCAGUCAGAGUGAGACUGUUCAUGAGUCUGCCUAGAAAAUACAUUUCUUCAUACAGUGCUGUUGUCUUUGUCGCUUGGCCUGGAAAAGGCUUUCCCGUAUAUACAUGUGAGAAGUGCCACAACCAGCUGUCUGAAUGCUUGAGUGCGAGCUAAGGGAGGCAGUAGAUCUGGG